rnacentral:rRNA from 1 species
AAUCCAGAGAUGGAUUUGUGCCUUCGGGAACUGUGAGACAGGUGCUGCAUGGCUGUCGUCAGCUCGUGUUGUGAAAUGUUGGGUUAAGUCCCGCAACGAGCGCAACCCUUAUCCUUUGUUGCCAGCGGUUAGGCCGGGAACUCAAAGGAGACUGCCAGUGAUAAACUGGAGGAAGGUGGGGAUGACGUCAAGUCAUCAUGGCCCUUACGACCAGGGCUACACACGUGCUACAAUGGCGCAUACAAAGAGAAGCGACCUCGCGAGAGCAAGCGGACCUCAUAAAGUGCGUCGUAGUCCGGAUUGGAGUCUGCAACUCGACUCCAUGAAGUCGGAAUCGCUAGUAAUCGUGGAUCAGAAUGCCACGGUGAAUACGUUCCCGGGCCUUGUACACACCGCCCGUCACACCAUGGGAGUGGGUUGCAAAAGAAGUAGGUAGCUUAACCUUCGGGAGGGCGCUUACCACUUUGUGAUUCAUGACUGGGGUGAAGUCGUAACAAGGUAACCGUAGGGGAACCUGCGGUUGGAUCACCUCCUUACCUGAAAGAAGC